ACCAGGCGCGGUGGCACAUGCCUAUAGUCCCAGCUACUCUGGAGGCUGAGGCUGGAGAAUCACUUGAGCCCAGGAGUUCUGGGCUGUCGUGCGCUAUGCCGAUUGGGUGUCCGCACUAAGUUCGGCAUCAAUAUGGUGACCUCCAGGGAGCGGGGGACCACCAGGUUGCCUAAGGAGGGUGAACCGGUCCAGGUCGGAAACGGGGCAGGUCAAAACUCCCGUGCUGAUCAGUAGUGGGAUCGCGCCUGGGAAUAGCCACUGCACUCCAGCCUGGGCAAUUCUAAAAAAAAGGUUU
ensembl:misc_RNA Metazoa_SRP Metazoan signal recognition particle RNA